GGUAUUUCGUUCCGAUAUUUAUUGGAAGAAUAUUUCGGACAUUAUACUGACCAUUGUACAGGUAAAAGUAUUCACACACAGUCACUGACCGCCAUACCGGUAAGACGUGUGUCAUUUUUGAGGCCAUUACCAGACAUAGAGUCGCAAAGACCACCAAUUAACGGGAUGUCUGGUUUUUACGUUGGGACAUGGACCCAAACAUACACGGCCUGAGGUGGAUGGAUUUGUGGGGAAGACAACUGACGGUGGAUUAUGUCAGUUCCACAUAGAGGAGCACUCGAGGGACCUACUGUACGAUAGGUGCAGCAAUGGCACAUAGAGGUCAGAGUGGCUCGCUGGAUACAGGCUGCGGCUCCAGCAGUGUAUCAUCAUCAGAUGAUAUAGGGUUUGGGAACGCCCUUAUUUGGUUAAUCGAAACCAUGGACUGGUCAAACGACCACGUUUCGUCAUUGUGUCAUAUCCUAUGAUGGCCAUAGGGAGGAGACACCAUUUGUGAAGGCCAGGAGACAACAUUUGUUAGGCCAGGAGAACUUUUCUGAGAUAUUUAUAUAUAUGCAGUGUAAAUACCAUUUGAGUGAGUGAAAGAGUUGUGUGUGUAAUGGGUAGAGUGUAUAUUGUGUAUAUUUGUAGUAAAUAAAUUGUAAAUAUUGUAAGUGAU